rnacentral:rRNA from 1 species
UACGAAGGGGGCUAGCGUUGCUCGGAAUCACUGGGCGUAAAGGGUGCGUAGGCGGGUUUCUAAGUCAGAGGUGAAAGCCUGGAGCUCAACUCCAGAACUGCCUUUGAUACUGGAAGUCUUGAGUUCGGGAGAGGUGAGUGGAACUGCGAGUGUAGAGGUGAAAUUCGUAGAUAUUCGCAAGAACACCAGUGGCGAAGGCGGCUCACUGGCCCGAUACUGACGCUGAGGCACGAAAGCGUGGGGAGCAAACAGGG